GAGAGGUGCUGCAUGGCUGUCGUCAGCUCGUGUUGUGAAAUGUUGGGUUAAGUCUCGCAACGAGCGCAACCCCUAUCGUCUGUUGCCAGCAUUAAGUUGGGCACUCUGACGAGACUGCCUGGGUUAACCAGGAGGAAGGUGGGGAUGACGUCAAGUCCUCAUGGCCCUUAUGUCUAGGGCUACACACGUAAUACAAUGGCGCGUACAGAGGGAAGCGAACCAGCAAUGGGGAGCAAAUCUCAAAAAGCGCGUCUCAGUCCGGAUUGAAGUCUGCAACUCGACUUCAUGAAGUUGGAAUCGCUAGUA
rnacentral:rRNA from 1 species